UACGGAGGAUCCGAGCGUUAUCCGGAUUUAUUGGGUUUAAAGGGUGCGUAGGUGGAUUGGUAAGUCAGUGGUGAAAGUUUGCAGCUUAACUGUAAAAUUGCCGUUGAAACUGCCGGUCUUGAGUGCAAAUGAGGUAGGCGGAAUGCGUCGUGUAGCGGUGAAAUGCUUAGAUAUGACGCAGAACUCCGAUUGCGAAGGCAGCUUACUAAACUACUACUGACGCUCAGGCACGAAGGCGUGGGGACCAAACAGGAUUAGAUACCCCCGUAGUCCCUGA
rnacentral:rRNA from 1 species